GGCGUAGUGGUGGAAUUGGUAAACACAGAGUCCUUCUCCGGACUCCGAGCGUAGCCGCGAGGUGCUCUUGCAGGUUCGACUCCUGCCUACAAUG
rnacentral:tRNA from 1 species